rnacentral:SRP_RNA from 2 species
GCCGGGUGCGGUGGCUCACACCUGUAAUCCCAGCACUUUGGGAGGCUGAGGUGGGAGGAGCACUUGAACCCAGGAGUUCCAGGCUGCAACGAGCUAUGAUCGUGCCACUGCACUCUGGCCUGGAUGACAGAGUGAGAUCCUGUCUUUU